rnacentral:rRNA from 1 species
GUCCACGCCGUAAACGAUUGGUGCUAGGUGUGGGCGGUGUCGACUCCGUCCGUGCCGAAGCUAACGCAUUAAGCACCCCGCCUGGGGAGUACGGCCGCAAGGCUAAAACUCAAAGGAAUUGACGGGGGCCCGCACAAGCAGCGGAGCAUGUGGUUUAAUUCGACGCAACGCGAAGAACCUUACCUAGGCUUGACAUGCACUGGAAUGUCGUGGAAACACGGCAGCCCUUCGGGGCUCGUGCACAGGUGGUGCAUGGCUGUCGU